rnacentral:rRNA from 1 species
UACGUAGGGCGCAAGCGUUGUCCGGAAUUAUUGGGCGUAAAGAGCUCGUAGGCGGUUUGUCGCGUCUGCUGUGAAAGCCCGGGGCUCAACCCCCGGGGUCUGCAGUGGGUACGGGCAGACUAGAGUGCAGUAGGGGAGACUGGAAUUCCUGGUGUAGCGGUGAAAUGCGCAGAUAUCAGGAGGAACACCGAUGGCGAAGGCAGGUCGUCUGGCGUGUAACUGCGCUGAGGAGCGAAAGCAUGGGGAGCGAACAGG